rnacentral:misc_RNA from 1 species
GUGAAUUAAACAUGCUUGGUGUCUUCGCUUCGGCAAGGCCCUUGCUUAAUUCACAUCCUAACACCUGUUGAACUGUAAGACGUAUGAUGAGGUCUUUGGCCAAGUCAUCGUCUGCCCAUUUUUAACAAACAAUUAAUGUAACAAACGUAGUCUUAUUAUAACCUAAUA